rnacentral:rRNA from 1 species
UUAAGUUAGAAAGGGCGCACGGUGGAUGCCUUGACACUAGGAGUCGAUGAAGGACGGGACUAACGCCGAUAUGCUUCGGGGAGCUGUAAGUAAGCUUUGAUCCGAAGAUUUCCGAAUGGGGAAACCCACCAUACGUAAUGGUAUGGUAUCCUUAUCUGAAUACAUAGGGUAAGGAAGACAGACCCAGGGAACUGAAACAUCUAAGUACCUGGAGGAAGAGAAAGCAAAUGCGAUUUCCUGAGUAGCGGCGAGCGAAACGGAACAUAGCCCAAACCAAGAGGCUUGCCUCUUGGGGUUGUAGGACAUUCUAUACGGAGUUACAAAGGAACGAGGUAGACGAAGCGACCUGGAAAGGUCCGUCGUAGAGGGUAACAACCCCGUAGUCGAAACUUCGUUCUCUCUUGAAUGUAUCCUGAGUACGGCGGAACACGUGAAAUUCCGUCGGAAUCUGGGAGGACCAUCUCCCAAGGCUAAAUACUCCCUAGUGAUCGAUAGUGAACCAGUACCGUGAGGGAAAGGUGAAAAGCACCCCGGAAGGGGAGUGAAAGAGAUCCUGAAACCGUGUGCCUACAAAUAGUCAGAGCCCGUUAACGGGUGAUGGCGUGCCUUUUGUAGAAUGAACCGGCGAGUUACGAUCCCGUGCGAGGUUAAGCUGAAGAGGCGGAGCCGCAGCGAAAGCGAGUCUGAAUAGGGCGUUUAGUACGUGGUCGUAGACCCGAAACCAGGUGAUCUACCCAUGUCCAGGGUGAAGUUCAGGUAACACUGAAUGGAGGCCCGAACCCACGCACGUUGAAAAGUGCGGGGAUGAGGUGUGGGUAGCGGAGAAAUUCCAAUCGAACCUGGAGAUAGCUGGUUCUCCCCGAAAUAGCUUUAGGGCUAGCCUUAAGUGUAAGAGUCUUGGAGGUAGAGCACUGAUUGGACUAGGGGUCCUCAUCGGAUUACCGAAUUCAGUCAAACUCCGAAUGCCAAUGACUUAUCCUUAGGAGUCAGACUGCGAGUGAUAAGAUCCGUAGUCAAAAGGGAAACAGCCCAGACCGCCAGCUAAGGUCCCAAAGUGUGUAUUAAGUGGAAAAGGAUGUGGAGUUGCUUAGACAACUAGGAUGUUGGCUUAGAAGCAGCCACCAUUUAAAGAGUGCGUAAUAGCUCACUAGUCGAGUGACUCUGCGCCGAAAAUGUACCGGGGCUAAAUACACCACCGAAGCUGCGGAUUGAUACCAAUGGUAUCAGUGGUAGGGGAGCGUUCUAAGGACAGUGAAGUCAGACCGGAAGGACUGGUGGAGUGCUUAGAAGUGAGAAUGCCGGUAUGAGUAGCGAAAGACGGGUGAGAAUCCCGUCCACCGAAUGCCUAAGGUUUCCUGAGGAAGGCUCGUCCGCUCAGGGUUAGUCAGGACCUAAGCCGAGGCCGACAGGCGUAGGCGAUGGACAACAGGUUGAUAUUCCUGUACCACCUCUUUAUCGUUUGAGCAAUGGAGGGACGCAGAAGGAUAGAAGAAGCGUGCGAUUGGUUGUGCACGUCCAAGCAGUUAGGCUGAUAAGUAGGCAAAUCCGCUUAUCGUGAAGGCUGAGCUGUGAUGGGGAAGCUCCUUAUGGAGCGAAGUCUUUGAUUCCCCGCUGCCAAGAAAAGCUUCUAGCGAGAUAAAAGGUGCCUGUACCGCAAACCGACACAGGUAGGCGAGGAGAGAAUCCUAAGGUGUGCGAGAGAACUCUGGUUAAGGAACUCGGCAAAAUGACCCCGUAACUUCGGGAGAAGGGGUGCUUUCUUAACGGAAAGCCGCAGUGAAUAGGCCCAAGCGACUGUUUAGCAAAAACACAGCUCUCUGCGAAGCCGUAAGGCGAAGUAUAGGGGGUGACACCUGCCCGGUGCUGGAAGGUUAAGGAGAGGGGUUAGCGUAAGCGAAGCUCUGAACUGAAGCCCCAGUAAACGGCGGCCGUAACUAUAACGGUCCUAAGGUAGCGAAAUUCCUUGUCGGGUAAGUUCCGACCCGCACGAAAGGUGUAACGAUUUGGGCACUGUCUCAACCAGAGACUCGGUGAAAUUAUAGUACCUGUGAAGAUGCAGGUUACCCGCGACAGGACGGAAAGACCCCGUGGAGCUUUACUGUAGCCUGAUAUUGAAUUUUGGUACAGUUUGUACAGGAUAGGCGGGAGCCUUUGAAACCGGAGCGCUAGCUUCGGUGGAGGCGCUGGUGGGAUACCGCCCUGACUGUAUUGAAAUUCUAACCUACGGGUCUUAUCGACCCGGGAGACAGUGUCAGGUGGGCAGUUUGACUGGGGCGGUCGCCUCCUAAAGUGUAACGGAGGCGCCCAAAGGUUCCCUCAGAAUGGUUGGAAAUCAUUCGUAGAGUGCAAAGGCAUAAGGGAGCUUGACUGCGAGACCUACAAGUCGAGCAGGGACGAAAGUCGGGCUUAGUGAUCCGGUGGUUCCGCAUGGAAGGGCCAUCGCUCAACGGAUAAAAGCUACCCCGGGGAUAACAGGCUUAUCUCCCCCAAGAGUCCACAUCGACGGGGAGGUUUGGCACCUCGAUGUCGGCUCAUCGCAUCCUGGGGCUGUAGUCGGUCCCCAAGGGUUGGGCUGUUCGCCCAUUAAAGCGGUACGCGAGCUGGGUUCAGAACGUCGUGAGACAGUUCGGUCCCUAUCCGUCGUGGGGCGUAGGAAAUUUGAGAGGAGCUGUCCUUAGUACGAGAGGACCGGGAUGGACGCACCGCUGGUGUACCAGUUGUUCUGCCAAGGGCAUAGCUGGGUAGCUAUGUGCGGAAGGGAUAAGUGCUGAAAGCAUCUAAGCAUGAAGCCCCCCUCAAGAUGAGAUUUCCCAUAGCGUAAGCUAGUAAGAUCCCUGAAAGAUGAUCAGGUUGAUAGGUUCGAGGUGGAAGCAUGGUGACAUGUGGAGCUGACGAAUACUAAUAGAUCGAGGACUUAACCAU